rnacentral:rRNA from 1 species
UACGUAGGGUGCGAGCGUUAAUCGGAAUUACUGGGCGUAAAGGGUGCGCGGGCGGCGUCGCAAGUCAGGCGUGAAAUCCCCGGGCUUAACCGGGGAACUGCGUCUGAUACUGGAUGGCUUGAGAUUGGGAGAGGGAUGCGGAAUUCCAGGUGUAGCGGUGAAAUGCGUAGAUAUCUGGAGGAACACCGGUGGCGAAGGCGGCAUCCUGGACCAACACUGACGCUGAGUGAGCGAAAGCCAGGGGAGCAAACGGG